rnacentral:rRNA from 1 species
UACGAAGGGGGCUAGCGUUGUUCGGAAUUACUGGGCGUAAAGCGCGCGUAGGCGGUCUUCUAAGUCAGUGGUGAAAGCCCGGAGCUCAACUCCGGAACUGCCAUUGAAACUGUUAGACUUGAGGACGAGAGAGGUGAGUGGAAUUCCCAGUGUAGAGGUGAAAUUCGUAGAUAUUGGGAAGAACACCGGUGGCGAAGGCGGCUCACUGGCUCGUAUCUGACGCUCAGGCGCGACAGCGUGGGGAUCAAACAGG